UACCCAAUGGACUCGGUCUUCAUAUUCUAUCGCCAUAAUAAAGUUAUCAGUUCUCUCUCCUCAAAAAGCCUAAUCAGAGACAAGCUGUGCCUCAAUCAUCCGCAGGUAAUAAGCAGAACGCAGUUGGAUUGUUAAGGAGAAAGAAAAUAUGGUUGGAAGUGAAUCUGAAAUAGUUGAGGAGGCGUUUUCCAAUUUAAAGGAAUUGCACGUUGGAGAACAAGAAAUUCAGGAUAACAAUGGUCAAGCUUGCAAACCUCAGUCCCCUUUGCAAGAUGAUGAAGAAGAGACACAAGUUGAUGGCUCAGAUGGAUUACCAGGUUAGAUGUUGGAAGCCUUGUAUGUUAUAAUUUCACAUAUAACUUCUUUUAUUACGGAUAGGAUUGAGUGGAAGGUCUGUUGUCAAAUAGAAA